GUAUAAAGGGGGGAUGGGAAUUAGUAUAGAGAGGGGGACUGGGAUUUAGUACAGAGUGCGGACUGGGGUUUAGUAGAGGGGGACUGGGAUUUAGUACAGAUUUAGUAUAGUAUUUAGUAUAAAUCCCAGUCCCCCUCUCUAUACUAAUUCCCAUCCCCCCUUUAUACU